GGCUUCUUGAAGUUGGAAGAAUAGUGGUAAUACAUGAAUUGAUACGAAGUGAAAUAAGCAAAACCCAGAGAACAUUAUUGUGGAAGUUUAAUUGUGUCUAACUCUUUAUGAUCCUUUUUGGAGUUUUCAUGACAUACCCAUCAAAACUGACUAUAUUCUUACAGGGGAAAGUAUGGUCAUUUAACACAACAGAAGAGUUCCAAGCAUUCAUAAAUAAAAGACCAGACCUGAACAGAAAAUUUGAUGUCCAACCACAAAACUCAAGAGAAUCAUCAAAAGUCAUCAAUGACAAGAAAGAUGAUUUGGAAUGACUAGCAACGGCCCAGGAUACAAUGGAUGACCUUGGAGCUCUAUAGCACCUGUUUCAGCAACCUUUGUGGAUGUUUCAACAAAUUAUUUUCACCCUUCCAUUCCAUUGGGGGAUGUUUUCCCAUGCUUUGGAUAAACAUUGCUACAAUCACCAACAGGUUUAGCCCAUGGGUGUGCAUGCUAAACCUUCUUGGGGCCACAGUUUAACAUUUUGGACACUGAGAUUGGAAGUUGUAGCUGCCUGAGUCACCAGCUAAAGGACUCCAGAUGUGAAGUACCUACAGAACCCACUUAGGGUCAAGUCAGGAGGUCAGUUAGCAGUGUGGCUAGGUAAUCUGAAACUUUCAGAAAAAGGACUUGAUCUCAUGUAUUUAGGAACGUGACCCACUCUUUAAUCAGGAGGUAAAAAGAGCAUCAUAGUUAUACAGAGGGGACUACCAGACCC
rnacentral:lncRNA from 1 species